CUGAUUUUUUUGAAUACCUUUUCCACUACUUCAACUCACAUCCUCUUAUCCCAUCUCAAGAAAUUUCAAGAAUUAAAUAUUUUGACAAUUUCCAAGAUUUCUCUGAAUACACAAGAAAUGCAAUCAAUGGAGAUGAGGAGAAGAUGACUCUAAAAUCCCAAAAUCAAGCUAAAGCCAAAGCUGCAUAUGCUGACAAACUUUGCAAGCUCUAUGAGUUCAUUGGGUUUUUCAAUGCAAGGUUUGACACGUGGAACACACAGAAAUUAAUUGAAGCAAUGUCAAAAGAAGAAAGAGUUAGCUUUGAAGUGGAUGCAAGAAAUAUAGAGUGGAAGAAGUAUUUUGAGGAAAUUCAUAUUCCUGGUCUGAUAAAACAUAUACUCAAUGGCACUAUGUAAUAAAGCAUUAAUUUGUAUGUAAUUUAUUUAUACUAUACUUAUAUGUAUGAAUGCCUUUGGUGUUUCUCAAAUUAUGGUAAUAAGUAUCACUAUGUUUGAGGAAUUAA